AGGCAGCAGUGGGGGAAUAGUUGCACAAUGGGCGCGAAGCCUGAUGCAGCCAUGCCGCGUGUGUGAAGAAGGCCUUCGGGUUGUAAAGCACUUUCAGUCGUGAGGAAGGUGGUAGUGUUAAUAGCACUAUCAUUUGACGUUAGCGACAGAAGAAGCACCGGCUAACUCCGUGCCAGCAGCCGCGGUAAUACGGAGGGUGCGAGCGUUAAUCGGAAUUACUGGGCGUAAAGCGCAUGCAGGUGGUUUGUUAAGUCAGAUGUGAAAGCCCGGGGCGUCAACCUCGGAAUAGCAUUUGAAACUGGCAGACUAGAGUACUGUAGAGGGGGGUAGGAAUUUCAGGUGUAGCGGUGAAAUGCGUAGAGAUCUGAAGGAAUACCGGUGGCGAAGGCGGCCCCCUCGGACAGAUACUGACACUCAGAUGCGAAAGCGUGGGGAGCAAACAGGAUUAGAUACCCUGGUAG
rnacentral:rRNA from 1 species